rnacentral:rRNA from 1 species
UGCCGCGUGAAUGAUGAAGGUCUUAGGAUUGUAAAAUUCUUUCACCGGGGACGAUAAUGACGGUACCCGGAGAAGAAGCCCCGGCUAACUUCGUGCCAGCAGCCGCGGUAAUACGAAGGGGGCUAGCGUUGCUCGGAAUUACUGGGCGUAAAGGGCGCGUAGGCGGAUCGUUAAGUCAGAGGUGAAAUCCCAGGGCUCAACCCUGGAACUGCCUUUGAUACUGGCGAUCUUGAGUAUGAGAGAGGUAUGUGGAACUCCGAGUGUAGAGGUGAAAUUCGUAGAUAUUCGGAAGAACACCAGUGGCGAAGGCGACAUACUGGCUCAUUACUGACGCUGAGGCGCGAAAGCGUGGGGAGCAAACAGGAUUAGAUACCCUGGUAGUCCACGCCGUAAACGAUGAUUGCUAGUUGUCGGGCUGCAUGCAGUUCGGUGACGCAGCUAACGCAUUAAGCAAUCCGCCUGGGGAGUACGGUCGCAAGAUUAAAACUCAAAUG